CGCCCUGUAUGGCAACAUUCAGGGUGAUCGGGCAGGAGUCAGCAGAGGCCAUAGUAGGCGAGGACGUUACCAUAAGGUGGUAUGGUAAUUGGAAACGAGCCCGGUGAAUAGAAAAGCCGGGAUGGUCUCACCCCGCUGAAGGGC
rfam:Desulfovibrio sp. S3730MH75 k99_4175357, whole genome shotgun sequence.